rnacentral:rRNA from 1 species
CCCUUAGAUGUUCUGGGCCGCACGCGUGCUACACUGAGUGGAUCAGCGGGUCAGGUUGCGCGAAAGCGUUUCCUAAUCUUUAAAUCCGCUCGUGAUGGGGAUUGACGGUUGCAAUUUUCUGUCAUGAACGAGGAAUACCUUGUAAGCGCGGGUCAUCAUCCCGCGCUGAAUACGUCCCUGCCCUUUGUACACACCGCCCGUCGCUCCUACCGAUUGAGUGGUUCGGUGAAGAUCUCGGACUUCGAUAUUUAUUCUUUAUUGAGUUUAUAUUGUGGGAAGUUAUCUAAACCUCAUCAUUUAGAGGAAGGUGAAGUCGUAACA